CUGUCAAUGAGUGCUAGUUGGUGGGUUUCAGACAUGUGACACACAGUAUCUCUGUCCAGUAAAGGGGAUGAGUUCAAAGAAAGGAACUCUAUCCUAAAGGCAGGGCAAGACAAA
rnacentral:scRNA from 14 species